rnacentral:rRNA from 1 species
AUACAGAGGGUGCGAGCGUUAAUCGGAGUUACUGGGCGUAAAGGGCGCGUAGGCGGAUGAUUAAGUCAGUUGUGAAAUCCCAGGGCUUAACCUUGGAACUGCAAUUGAUACUGAUUGACUAGAGUCGAAGAGAGGGAAGCGGAAUUUCCGGUGUAGCGGUGAAAUGCGUAGAUAUCGGAAGGAACACCCGUGGCGAAGGCGGCUUCCUGGCUUCAGACUGACGCUGAGGUGCGAAAGCGUGGGGAGCGAACAGGAUUAGAAACCCUAGUAGUCC